AUCCGAAUGACGAGUCCCAAAUAGGACGAAAUUCGCGUCCUGGAU
rnacentral:hammerhead_ribozyme from 1 species